UCCUUAUCCCCAUCCACACAAAACCCUUAUUCCCCCUCUCUCAUCGCCGUACACCCCUUCUCCACCCUCCUCUUUCACCGCCGAUCACCACCCCCACUAUCAAUUUUCACCGUCGACCAACACCCUCCUCUUUCAUCCGCCGUCACCCACCCCUUCCUCGUCGCCGUACACCCCUCUCCGCUUUGUUUCGUUACCCCCCACCACCGAAACCUUCCACCCACCAUACCUCCCCCGUCCGACCACCAUUUUCCAUCAUCUCCUCCGACCACCACGUGACCGGAAUCUCCACCCGCACAAAACCCACAUCAUCCGGCCGCUACAUCAUCGCGACUCGGGACCAAACGAAAUUCAAAAAGUUCAUAUUUUUCUUGUGUAAUUCAUCGAUUCAGGCAUGGCUAGUAGCUCUCGUCGAGGAAAGGGUAGGAAAACCGGAGGGGGCAGUCAGCACCGCAGCAGGAUCCGGUUCCUCAAGAAACGCUGAUGUAGGGUAAAAUGUGCAAAUAGAGCGAAAAUGAGUAAUAACCAAAUAACCAGCCAGUUGGGUAAAGCGAGGUGCCAGUGACCAAAGUAAAAUUACCGCUAAUUUCUCACAAUUACAAGAAGGUCAAAGUGUGGAAACACACUUGAAGAUAUAUAAUAUUAAUCAAAAUGAAAGAAAUAUUCUAUGAAAUGAACUUUGGUGGUCACGUACAAAAAGAGAAACAAUUGAACGAUAUGGGCUAAUUCAUGUUUAGUCCAAAGUGUUUAAGUGUUAGUGGGCUCAACUAAACAACACGAAACGAAAGUUGCUGCCAUACCUAUAUUAUUUUUUUUGGGCCGCUAGUAUUAUUUAGAAAAGGGUGGACAGCAAUUAUUUGGAAUUAAAGGAAAAGAUCAUGAGGAAUCCAAUAUCGAUCAUACAUCAUUCAUUAUGUUCGACCAUACAUGGGGGCCCAAUUUUGGUGGCCGUGAAUUCUAAAAAAAAGGCAUUCAUAUAUUUUAUUUUGGACAACAACAUCACAAAGGAAGAUGGCAGCCAAUAUUUGGGGCGGCAGCCGGCUGAGAAGAAGGCAGACAUUAAUUGGGCCAGCCCAAUAUGUGAACGAAGUUAGAGAGGGGCGGCAGACCUCUUUGUUUUUUUGGAGAGACACACGCAAGAGUUGGGGAUUAAUUGAGGGGCACGAAUUUAUAUACACGGUUGAGAGGGGAAUUAUUAUUGCAUAUACACACCAGUUGACAACUGUGAGGGGAGCCGCACAUUAUUAUUGGACGCAACCAGCAACAUCUACGAAUUUUGGAGAAGGUGUUUAGCAAAGAUCAAGGCCACAGAAUCGUUGGGUUGAAGCAAGAAGCUUGGAGAGCAAGGAUUAACUGGGUUUUGCCAUUCGGUUUCUUUUAUUUUCUAGUCUUUUUGUUUUAAUUCAAUGAAUUCAUUAUUUGAACAUUGCUUGAUUAUUUUUGAGACUUUGUUCGUUAUGAUUAUUGGCUAGAUUUCUUGUUACUA